rnacentral:rRNA from 1 species
AUUGAACGCUGGCGGCAUGCCUUACACAUGCAAGUCGAACGGUAACGCGGGGCAACCUGGCGACGAGUGGCGAACGGGUGAGUAAUGCAUCGGAACGUGCCCAGUAGUGGGGGAUAGCCCGGCGAAAGCCGGAUUAAUACCGCAUACGACCUAAGGGUGAAAGGGGGGGAUCGCAAGACCUCUCGCUAUUGGAGCGGCCGAUGUCAGAUUAGGUAGGUGGUGGGGUAAAGGCCUACCAAGCCGACGAUCUGUAGCUGGUCUGAGAGGACGACCAGCCACACUGGGACUGAGACACGGCCCAGACUCCUACGGGAGGCAGCAGUGGGGAAUUUUGGACAAUGGACGCAAGUCUGAUCCAGCCAUGCCGCGUGCGGGAAGAAGGCCUUCGGGUUGUAAACCGCUUUUGUCAGGGAAGAAAUCUUCUGGGCUAAUACCUCGGGAGGAUGACGGUACCUGAAGAAUAAGCACCGGCUAACUACGUGCCAGCAGCCGCAGUAA